rnacentral:rRNA from 1 species
UACGUAGGGUCCGAGCGUUGUCCGGAAUUACUGGGCGUAAAGAGCUCGUAGGUGGUUUGUCGCGUUGUUCGUGAAAACUCACAACUCAAUUGUGGGCGUGCGGGCGAUACGGGCAGACUGGAGUACUGCAGGGGAGACUGGAAUUCCUGGUGUAGCGGUGGAAUGCGCAGAUAUCAGGAGGAACACCGGUGGCGAAGGCGGGUCUCUGGGCAGUAACUGACGCUGAGGAGCGAAAGCGUGGGGGAGCGAACAGG